GUUGAAACGCCAAUUCCCGUACGAUCAACGACGUUAAGCAACGUCGAGCCUGGUUUGUACCUAGAUGGGUGGCCGCUUGCUAAGAGCAGGGGCUGUAA